CAGCAGCCAGGUAAUACGAAGGGGGCUAGCGUUGUUCGGAUUUACUGGGCGUAAAGCGCACGUAGGCGGAUUCUUAAGUCAGAGGUGAAAUCCCAAGGCUCAACCUUGGAACUGCCUUUGAUACUGGGGAUCUUGAGUUCGGGAGAGGUGAGUGGAACUGCGAGUGUAGAGGUGAAAUUCGUAGAUAUUCGCAAGAACACCAGUGGCGAAGGCGGCUCACUGGCCCGAUACUGACGCUGAGGUGCGAAAGCGUGGGGAGCAAACAGGAUUAGAUACCCCUGUAGUCCCUGUCUCUUAUACC
rnacentral:rRNA from 1 species